CAGUAGCCACGGUAAUACGGAGGGGGCUAGCGUUGUUCGGAAUUACUGGGCGUAAAGCGCACGUAGGCGGCUUGGUAAGUUAGAGGUGAAAGCCUGGAGCUCAACUCCAGAAUUGCCUUUAAGACUGCCGAGCUAGCAGGUGAGAGAGGUAAGUGGAAUUCCGAGUGUAGAGGUGAAAUUCGUAGAUAUUCGGAAGAACACCAGUGGCGAAGGCGGCUUACUGGCUCAUACUGGACGCUGAGGUGCGAAAGCGUGGGGAGCAAACAGGAUUAGAUACCCCCGUAGUCCCUGUCUCUUAUAA
rnacentral:rRNA from 1 species